AGAGUUGAUCAUGGCUCAGGAUGAACGCUGGCGGCGUGCCUAACACAUGCAAGUCGAGCGGAGUCAUAUGUUGAUUCUUCGGAUGAUUUAUAUGACUUAGCGGCGGAUGGGUGAGUAACACGUGGGUAAUCUGCCCUGCACUGGGGGAUAACAGUUGGAAACGACUGUUAAUACCGCAUAUGCACACGGGGCCGCAUGGCCCUGGGUGGAAAGAUUCAUCGGUGCAGGAUGAGCCCGCGUCGGAUUAACUAGUUGGCAGGGUAACGGCCUACCAAGGUGAUGAUCCGUAGCCGGCCUGAGAGGGCGACCGGCCACAUUGGGACUGAGACACGGCCCAAACUCCUACGGGAGGCAGCAGUGGGGAAUAUUGCACAAUGGGCGCAAGCCCUGAUGCAGCGACGCCGCGUGAAGGAAGAAGUAUUUCGGUAUGUAAACUUCUAUCAGCGGGGAAGAAGAUGACGGUACCCGACUAAGAAGCCCCGGCUAACUACGUGCCAGCCGCAGC
rnacentral:rRNA from 1 species